UAAAUUGAUGUUUUUACAUCUCAUAUUGGUGUCACUGUGUGAAACAAAUGCCGCUUCAGAAUUUCAGUCAAAUGUCAUGCAAACCUGAAACAGUUGAAGAAAAUUUGGACUCUGUAAUGCAAAUAAAAUCCAUCUUUCUGGAACACUGCUGAAUUAGGAGGUGGAUUUGCAUAGCUGUGACUGUCUGACAAGAUAAACCUCAAAAACUGCUUUUCUGAAAACAGGGUGUGUGGCAGAUUUAUUCAUCACCACAACCAAGAACAUUUAAGGCCUGGGAAGAUUCUACUCAACAUAUCGACUCCUCUAGAUACAAAGCAAGGCAAGACAGAAGUAUUUUCUGAAGAAGGGUCUGGACUCGAAGCGUUAGGUUCCCUGCUCCUCCAGCUCUAAACCUUCUUAUCUCAGAUUCUCCAGCAUUGGCCGUUCAUACUAUCUCUGAGUAUUGUACACCUUCCAUCUCUUGUAGAGGGAGCAAAUAUAAAAGGGCAAGAAAAGGCCAAGAUACUGUGACCAUCCAGGUGUAUGGAUGACACUUCUAAAGAUUUGGCAAGGAGAUGGCCUGUCAGAAUUUCGAACCAUCAGUUCAGGAAUCCACAAACAAUCCAAACGUUCUGCUGAGUCUAUUUGAAGAGGAGCAGAGCAUCCCUCCGAUUCAAUACCUACCAUCAACCAGAGCUACUGAAACAAAUGAGAGAAGCACGGAUAGAGUCGCAGCACAGAAUGAGACCAUUCAGCCCAUUGUAUCUAUGUGCCUGAAAGCGUUAUCAUGACCAAUUAUAAUUUCCAGUUAUUAGUCUUUAAUCUUAUAAAUGAUAGCACUUCAAGCACUUACACGUAUUUCUAGAAUCCUAGACCCACUACAUCUUGUGGAUAAUACUAUUUUUCCUCCACUGCCCUUCAAUCAGUUAACAAUUACUUUAAAAAUAAUAUGAUCAUUCAUUUCAUUGUCAUUCAUGGGAUUCCCUCUCUGUGUGGGAUGUUGCUGUGUAGAAACUCCUGCAGCGUUCCUCCUUUCUGUGCAACCUUGCUGUGCACAAACUAUAGCAGCAUUUCCUCUCUUUGUUGGAGCUUGCUGUGCACAAAGCAGCAUUCCCUCUCUGUGUGGAACCUUUCUGUGCACAAACUACAGCAGGGUUCCCUCUCAGUGUGUGAGCUUGCUUUGUACAAACCAGCAUUCCCUCUCAGUGUGGUAUCUUGCUGUGCACAAACUACAGCAGCAUUCUCUCUCUGUGUGACAGUUUACUGUGCACAGAGCAACAUUCCCUUUCUACCAGAUGGGAGAUUAAAGAAGGGUGCGAUGGAAGUGUUCUGUGUAUUCCUGUAGGUGAUGUGCUUGGCAAAUAAUUUGUGCAUUAUCUACCCAAAGGAAACUGUAACAGCAGGUCCUCGGCACCACUAAGACAUGCAAAUGCCUGACUAAUAAUAUUUCUGAAUGUUUCCUCUGAGCUAUAUGCUCUCAGUAAAAUGCAACAGUCUCAGUGGCAUUUUAUGCAUUCCUGUGUAAUCAAUAGCCAAUGUACUGCAGCCACUAAGAGGCCAUUAAUCAUAUUGGCAGGCUGUGGUGCACCAGCGUUUGUUGGAAACUGCUUUCAUGGGAUUUGGUUCAGGUACAGCCCUGUGCCACUCACCUUAGGUGUACCAGUUGCUACCAUGUAACAGGCACAAGGGGGAACUGUAUGAUCAGCUUUGGCUUCACCAGACUUCAACAUAUUCAACUUCUGAUCUAUAGAGAUCGUAUUGUGGAAUUCAUCAGAGACAUGUCAUGCAGAGUCAGAUCUACUUUAGUAUCUAUGAAAUUAGGAACCUGCAAAGAACCACACCAUACAUUUUGUUUCUACAGGGCCUCCAGUUUUAGCCAGGGAGAGUACUGGCAAUGACUGGUGAGUCAGAGAAAUAUGAAAGAGGUUUCAGAGAUAGUAGGAACAGCAGAUGCUGGAGAAUAUGAGAUACCAAGGUGUAG